rnacentral:lncRNA from 1 species
GACCUGAUGGAGAAGAACCAGGAAAACCAAGACCAGCAUUUGAGGAAAGCUGGUUUUGUCAACAACAAAAUACUGAUGGAAGACAGAAAUAGUGUUUUAGGAGAAACAUUUAAUAUAAAUUCAAACCUUGUUCCAAUGAGAAAAAUACCUGAUAAAUAUGACUUAUGUAUAAUGAACGUGAAUUAUAUUUCAGAAUUAAUUGUUAGUAAUAGAAACUCCUUUGGAAGGAAGCUUGAUGAGCUCAGUGCACAUGCGAAAUUGCUCCUUCAUAUGACAUGAGCAUCCUUAUGCCAGAGAGAAACAUUUUGAGUGUGACAGAAAUGAGAAAGCCAUCUGUUAGAAUGAGGACUUAUUUCAGCAUCAGGAUAUUCAAACUCUGAAGCAAAUUUUUGAAUACCUUGAGUGUGGGAAAGCUUUUCAUGAGGAGGCAGCCUUCAGUACCCAUAAGAGAGUGUGCUUCUGGGAGAAACCUUGUGAAUAUAAUGAACAACUAAGAGCCUUUUCUGACAAUCCAAACCUCCUUGUUCAUCAGAGUACUCACAGAAGGGAAAAUCACUACGAGUUUAAUUGCUGUGGGAGGAGGUCUGUUGGUGAGAAAUCUCUAAAUAAACACCAUGGAGGAAUCAUGGGGAAAAAAUACUAUGAGUGUGAGAAUAAUUUUGGCAAAAGUCACUCUUUAUUGACACUGAAAGAACUCAAAAAGGAAAAACAAGCUUUGAAUGUAAUGAAGGUAGGGAAAUCUUUAAGAAACCAAGUCUCUCUCAACAGCAUACAUACGCAGAAAAGAAAACCUUUCAAAAUAGUCAUUAUGGGAGUUCUUUUUGGCAUAUGUCAGUUCUCCCUAAACAUCAGCAAACACACGUAGGAGGAAAGUUCUAUGAAUGUAAUGAGUGUGGGAAAGCUCUCAGCCACAGUUCAUCUAUCAUAGUACAUAAUAGGAUAUACACAGGGGAGAAACUUUAUGAAUGUACUGAAUGUGAGAAAACCUUCACAAAUAGGUCAGGCCUUACAGUUCAUUGGCAGAUACACACAGGGCAAAAACCCUAAGAAUGUAUUGAAUGUGUCAUGCACAUUCGAUACAUACAAAUGCAAAGUGUCAUUAGGUUAUGUGACUUAUAUCUGAAGGGAAGCCUUUAGAUAUAAGUCAGUCCUUACAGUACAUCAGUACAUCAGAGAACACACACAGGUGAUAAACCCAAUGAGUGUAGUGAAUGUGGGAAAAAAUUCUGUGAGAAGUCAUAUCUCCAAGUACAUCAGAGAACUCACACAGGGGAGAAAUCCCAUGAGGGUAAAGAAUGUGGAAAAACCUUUGUUUACAAUUCAUUCCUCAUAGUACAUCAAAGGAUACACAUAGGUGUAAGACCCUAUUAAUGUAACGAAUGUGGGAAAACAUUCUCACAAAAGCCAGACUUCACUUAUCAUCAGAGAACUCAUACUGGAGAAAGGCCCUGUGAAUGUAAUGAAUGUGGGAAGUCUUUCUCAGUGAAGUCAAAACUUAUUGUGCAUCAGAGAACUCACACAGGGGAAAAACCCUAUGAAUGUAAUGAAUGUGGGAAAACCUUUUCCCAGAAGUCAUCUCUUACAGUACAUCAGAGAACACACACAGGGGAGAAACCAUAUAAAUGUAAUGCAUGUGGGAAAAGUUUUUCCCAGAAGUUAUCCCUUACUGUACAUCAAAAAAGACAUAAAAAGAGAAGCCAUAUAAAUGUAUUCAAUGCAGCAAAACAUUUAACCAGAAAUCAGCACUUACUAAACAUCAAAGAGCUCAGGAGAGAAACUUCAUAAAUAUAAUGAAUGCAGCAAAACUUUUUACCACAAGUCAUCCCUCACAGUACAUCAGAGAACCCACACAGGAGAGAAACCCUACAAAUGUAAUGAAUGUGAGAAGACUUUCUACCAGAAGUCAUCACUUAUAGCACAUCAGAAAACACACAGAAGGCAGAAAUCCUGUGAAUCUACAAA